UACGGAGGGAGCUAGCGUUGUUCGGAAUUACUGGGCGUAAAGCGCACGUAGGCGGCGAUUUAAGUCAGAGGUGAAAGCCCGGGGCUCAACCCCGGAAUAGCCUUUGAGACUGGAUUGCUUGAAUCUUGGAGAGGUGAGUGGAAUUCCGAGUGUAGAGGUGAAAUUCGUAGAUAUUAGGAAGAACACCAGUGGCGAAGGCGCUCUACUGGGCCAUUACUGACGCUGAUGGACGAAAGCUAGGGGAGCGAAAGGG
rnacentral:rRNA from 1 species